AAUAACCAAAUAUAACACUUGGGCUAAGGGUCAAGUUGGUAAUUUUUCUUAACCCUCCGGGAGCCCAGGUAUCAUAUACGCCCCCAAAAUAAAGAGCCUUGAAUACUAGAAGAAAAACACCUAUACCUAACAAGAUUAAGUGAAUACCAAAAAUUGUGGUCAUUAUCUUUCUAUCUUUCCA
rnacentral:antisense_RNA from 11 species